rnacentral:rRNA from 1 species
CCUACGGGUGGCAGCAGUGAGGAAUAUUGGUCAAUGGGCGGAAGCCUGAACCAGCCAAGUCGCGUGAGGGAUUAAGGCCCUAUGGGUCGUAAACCUCUUUUGUCAGGGAGCAAUGGCGUCCACGUGUGGGCGUCUGGAUAGUACCUGAAGAAAAAGCAUCGGCUAACUCCGUGCCCGCAGCCGCGGUAAUACGAGGGAUGCAAGCGUUAUCCGGUUUUAUUGGGUUUAAAGGGGGCGUAGGCGGGACCUUACGUCAGCGGGAAAAUUUCGGUGCUCAACGCAGUAGAGCCGUUGAAACUGGGGUUCUUGAGUGAGCGAGAAGUAUGCGGAAUGCGUGGUGUAGCGGUGAAAUGCAUAGAUAUCACGCAGAACCCCGAUUGCGAAGGCAGCAUACCGGCGCUCAACUGACGCUGAGGCACGAAAGUGCGGGUAUCGAACAGGAUUAGAUACCCUAGUAGUC